AGAAAAACAGGGACAUCAACCAGCAAAGAUGCAUCCUCAUUUAAUAGAGCUUGAAAUUACUAUAAUCUGUAAAGUACAGCGAGAAGAAGAAGUUUCACCUGCCUGCACAUCUGUCGUUGACUCUCCAUCUGACUUGGAGGGACUCUGAGGGACCAACCUGAGCCUGAGAAGAGGCAAGAUUCCCCUUCAAGGACACACUGGGAACUUACGGACCUCUUUCUCCAUGGUGCAGAGCGCAGAGGUGAACAAACAGACGCAUAAUAGCUCUUGAGCUUGCCAUUGGGAAGUGAAAAUCAACUGCUUGAAUAAAUGUAAGGACUCAGAACACCAGACAUGGGUGCUCCAAUCCACGUAGUGUUGAGGCAGUGAAGUUUGUGUUCCAGGAACUUCAGAACUCCUGAAUGUAUUGGUGUUGAUAAAAGGUGAUGAGAUGAAGUAGAAUGACCAUAAACUUAGAGGUAGACAUCACCUUGUGACUCAACAGCAGCCAAUAAGAUGGAAAUAAAGGCCAUGAAGUUAUCGGAUGGCAUCUACAAGGAAUACUUAGAUGAGGAGGUGACUCUGGUAGCAAUUGUUCUUUUGUCUUUCUCACCUUCCUUCUUGUCCUGUCUGGGAUGCUGAAGUGAUGGCUGGUAUACAGAUGCCCUGUUGUGAUGUUGAGAUAAACAUGAGAAUAAAAGUCGGCGAUUACAGAUGGCAGAGAAGAGAGAGAAAGAUAGGAUGUAGGUGGAUAUUGACGGAACUAAGUUUCUAUUGCACAAGUUCUACCACCAACCUCUGGACUUCAUGAUAUGUGAGGGAGAAAUAAACUCCUAUUUUAGAAGAGAUCUAUGUUACCUGCAACUGAACGGAAUGCUUAAUUGGCACAUCCUAUGUGCUCCAAACCUUCCUUAAUUUCUGUGUGUAAGGCAUACUUAGUCUUUACCCAUUAUUCUGUUCACAUUCAUUCACUUGAUCAGCCUCCCAACUCUAUGGUAAAGAGUUUACUACAGUUUACUCUAUUAGUAAGGGAGAUUCUGGAGCAAGCCCCACAAAUCAUAGAUUGAAUACCCAUUCAUUAAGAGAGAGAUUUAAAGAUACUUCUAUCCAAACACAUUUUAAAUUUCCAGCACCUUUGAGGUGGUGGAGGUUCAUGGUGGUUGAUAGGGUUUAAAUGACUUGUGAUUCAAGCUCCAUAUUACAAUGUAACAGUGCAAAAGUUCAUUUUUUUAAAUUUAUUUUACUUUAAGUUCUGGUAUACAUGUGUAGAACAUGCGGGUUUGUUACAUAGGUAUACAUGUGCCAUGGUGGUUUGCUGCACCUAUCAAACCGUCACCUAGGUUUUAAGAACCACAUGCAUUAGGUAUUUGACCUAAUGCUCUCCCUCAUGUUGCCCCCCAACUCCCUGACAGGGCCCAGUGUGUGAUGUUCCCCUCCCUGUGUCCAUGUGUUCUCAUUGUUCAACUCCCACUUAUGAGUGAGAACAUGUGGUGUUUGAUUUUCUGUUCCUGUGUUAGUUUGCUGAGAAUGAUGGCUUCCAGCUUCAUCCAUGUCCCUGCAAAGGACACGAACUCAUUCUUUUUUAUGGCUUCAUAAUAUUCCAUGAGUCUGGAUUUGGUUACAGAUAGAGCUGGACAAGCCUUAGCUAUAUCUAAUGGCUUUUGACAUGUUAUAUCAAUUUCUUACUGCUUUUGUAAAUGAAUAUAUUAAGAAGAAAAAAUUACAAAUGACCCUUUCUUCACAAACUUUUAGGGUAAUCAAGUUCAGUUAUUAAAAAAUGGAUGUUUGCAACAUUCAUAGUAAUUAUUUUCAGAAAAUUAAAAAUGAUUAAAAAUUAUAUUUUCAUCCCAUUCAGAUAUUAUAUAUUUAACUGUGAGAUAAUUCUCAGAGAUAAAUGUCAACUUUUAAAAAAUGCUAAAUAAAUUAAAUCAAAAUAUCCCCUCUAAAAUAAAUAAA
rnacentral:lncRNA from 10 species